UGCAAUUUGCUUUCUUCAAUUCAACUGAAUUUUCACCUCCCAAAAAUUGCAGCAAUAAGGGAGGAGUAUGAGUAUGGGAGGCGGAGAUGCUAGUGUUCCGGCGGGAGACAGCGGCGAUUCAAACAAGGUGAGUAACACCGGCGCCGGCGGAGGUGUUACAAUCAACAUCCGAUGUUCUAGUGGCUCGAAAUUCUCUGUGCAGGUCAGCCUCGAUUCUACCGUCGGAUCGUUCAAGUCUAUUCUUGCACAACAAGCCAACAUUCCUGCUGAGCAACAGAGAUUGAUCUAUAAAGGUCGGAUCUUAAAGGAUGAGCAAACACUAGAAAGCUACGGUCUGGAGGCAGAUCACACGGUUCAUUUAGUUCGAGGUUCUGCCCCAGCUCCCUCUGCAAACCCUGCAUGUGCACCCAAUGUUGGAGGUCCAAAUACUGCUCAGAAUGCACCAAGAAGUGCUGCUUCUGAUGCAGGUGGACCAUUUCCAGGAUCAGGCCUUGGAGCUUCAAUGUUUCCUGGUCUUGGAAGUGGUGGUGGUCUACUUGGAGCUGGCCUUCCGGAUUUCGAGCAGGUCCAGCAGCAGUUAACCCAAAACCCCAAUAUGAUGAGAGACAUGCUGAAUAUGCCUCUCGUUCAGAAUUUAAUGAAUAACCCAGAAAUCAUCCGUAACAUGAUUAUGAACAAUCCUCAAAUGCGAGAGAUCAUGGAUCGCAAUCCAGAGCUUGCCCACGUUCUUAAUGAUCCUGCUACUCUUCGUCAGACAAUGGAGGCUGCACGAAACCCUGAACUUAUGCGUGAGA
rnacentral:misc_RNA from 1 species